CCAAUAGCGUAUAUUAAAGUUGUUGCAGUUAAAAAGCUCGUAGUUGAAUUUCGGGAUCAGUUGGUCGGUCGUGCCUCGGUACGUACUGGUCAAAUUGAUUCCUACCUUCUGACGAACCACGAUGUCAUUAAUUUGGUGUCGCGGGAAAUCAGGACUGUUACUUUGAAAAAAUUAGAGUGUUUAAAGCAGGCUCGCGCUUGAAUACAUUAGCAUGGAAUAAUGAAAUAGGACGUUUGAUUCUAUUUUGUUGGUUUCUAGGAUCGACGUAAUGAUUAAUAGGGAUAGUUGGGGGCAUUAGUAUUCAAUUGUCAGAGGUGAAAUUCUUGGAGUUAUUGAAGACUAACUACUGCGAAAGCAUUUGCCAAGGAUGUUUUCAUUAAUCAAGAACGAAAGUUAGGGGAUCGAAGACGAUCAGAUACCGUCGUAGUCUUAACCAUAAACUAUGCCGACUAGGGAUCGGAUGAUGUUAAUUUUUUAAUGACUCAUUCGGCGCCUUACG
rnacentral:rRNA from 1 species